rnacentral:ncRNA from 1 species
GAUGACAGGUUGAUCUUUCCUGAGAGUUCACAUCGACUGAAAGGUUUGGCAUCUCGUUGUCUGACUCUUUGCCUUUUGGGGCCUUAACAUGUUCUCAGGCUUGGGCGGUGAGUUGGGUUCUGAACAUUGAGAGAUUUUUC